rnacentral:lncRNA from 10 species
CAGCUCACCAAGUUGGCAACAGGAAAGAUCAACAGUAAAAACCAGUACUAAUCUCCAUAGCAGAGGAGUGGUGACUAACAGCACAAAUCUGUAACUUAGCAAACUCACUUAGAAAAGCUGAAUGUGAAUGAUCACAGCUCUUAUACACUGCAGUUUUUACCUAGUUUUUGAAGACCAGUUCAUCAAGAGAGACCUAGGUCAGGGGCAAAAGACUUUGUUGCUAACAGGAGCAAACAGCUGGAGCAUUAGCAUAUUUGAUGUCCUAUCUCCUCACUCUUCCUGGGUCACCAGGUGAUACCUGCAUAUGCAGUAAGCUGUGUUGCAGGAUAGAAAUCCUGCACUUAGGGGACCUGAAGAUUUCAUACAGGACAAGAAGCAUGCAGGCCCAUUGUCUGAGACAGAGACUCUAUCUUCCAUGACUGUUCACAACACAAACAUCCCCCAUGACUGCUUACUAUGCAAACAUCCUUGCAAAGGUAGUUUGGAACAAAAGCAGUUGAUGAGUCUACUUGCAAGAUAUGCAGAAAAGUGAGAGACAACAAUAUACCCCACUGAUUUUAAGAAAAUCAGUCAAUUGUGCACAACACACUUUAAAAUUUUCUUCUUUUCAAGAUUACACCUUGCCUGGAAGAAACUCUGCCACAACAAGUUGCCACAUGGCAAAUUCUCAAUUUGGCAUGCCCUUGGGACUGUUAGCUACAUAUAUCAGGGCAUUGUGUCUUUUCUGAGACAGCCCCUGUGAGCAAGUAUUGCCAAAGUUCUUCAGCUACAGUCAUUAUAGCCGAACAACUUCUCCUUGUUUAUUAUUUUCUUUCAUAUACUCUGCUUCAUAUUCUGUAGGACUGAAGGCAUUUGAUCCUAAAUAAGUAGAUCUAGCUAUCUGGUUACCCAGUGUUCUGGGGUAGAGCCUGAGAUGAGGAAGAAGAGAUUGCUGGAAAGGGCGUCUGACACAAUGGCCAAAUCAU